CCUCCCUGGUCAAGUGUUUGAGGGCGGUGGCUGACACCUGUCACGCAUCAGUGCUAGAGACGACGUUCCCAGGGCAACUGUUUGCCUCCCUCGUCCAAUUGCUCCUCAUUCGAGAGCCCAGCACACAGCUGGAUGUGGCCCUACUCUGGCAUCGUCUCGUAGAUCACCAUGCCAAGAAGGACAAGAUUCCUCUCAACACGUGCGUGCGUGUGUGUGUGUGUGUGUGUGUGUGUGUGCGUGUGCGUGUGUGUGUGUGCACCUUGCUAUGUUCAGUGGGCGUACUAGAUUUUAUUUGUCAGUUAUACAGGUCCAUUUUGUCUUAGCUUUCACUACAUGUAUGUAUACAAUCAUGUGCAGUGCUUACAGCUACAUGUACGUGUAUUUAUACCCUCCCCUUGUGCAGUGAUUGGGUGAGUCUGGAGGCUGUAGGGCUCUCACUGGGUGUGGUUUUGAAAAGGUUCCUCUCUAAAACAGUCAACUCUCUCUUCACCAAUCUCCUGGAACUGGCCAAAGCUAUCUGCACUAGCCCUGCUAACACACUCGCUUUCUACCAACUCGUAUUUCUCCUGAUACUGGAAUUCUCUUAUCAAGGGCUCUCGGAUAUACUGGUCUUCCUACACCAGCUGCAAGAGCUUGCUGUGAAGGAGAAAGGCCUUCAGGCACAUCACAGAGUGGUGCUACAUGCUACAGUGGCGGGUGUGCUGCAUCUAGCGUCCAAGAUCAGUCGAAAUGAGGUACUCAAGACGACGCACAUUGAUGGAGUGAUUGCUAAGAGGAGGGAGACAGCUCCGAAGGCUAUGGUGGGACAUUCUUCUAGAGAAGUGGUAGUAAGAAGAAGUGCAGUCAUCUAGACAUGGAGGAGAAGCUGCUCAAGAGAUCUCAAAUCAUGGACCCGGGUGUCAUGGCUGAGCUGGAGUGAGAAUUGGAACUGGCCAACAGCAAGGCAGAUUUUGUGUGUGUUAUGUCACUGUGAUCGACCCACCCCAUGCUGGAGGUUGAUGUGAGUUGAGACUGAGAAUGAUGCCCUGUCAGUAAUGAACCCGAACACUCACUCAUGCCUUCAAGAAGUUUAGGUAAGAAAUAAUAUUAUGUUUACCAAAGUUGUGGUUAAAGAGUUUAUAAUACUGUAGGACUGGAAAUAUUUCGUAUUUUAAAUAUUCAUACAGCCACGUUGAGCCUAUUGCUGUAGAAUAGUUUUGUAGUUUUAUUUUACGUACAGUGUAUGAUGCUCUUCAGUACGAAAUAUACGAACAUUUUCACCAUACAACCUCUACUUAUACGGUAUGUCACAAAUACUCACUAUUGUCAGGGUUUCAAGCAGGAUUUUUAGCUAAGGGGGGAAAUGACGACGGCCAUACGCUGUUGAACAUUUGGGGGAGUUCAGGGGGCAGCCACCGGAAAAAUUUGGUUUGGCGGAAUGAUUAUCUAAGGUGCAAUUUGGAGGUUUUGUGCUUAAAACUAUUUUAAUUGACCUCUAGUGUGUGUACAGAGCUUAUGGCCCCACUAUGUACAUGCACUGCUUAUGGCCCCACUAUGUACACGCACUGCUUAUGGUCCCACUAUGUACAUGCACUGCCUAUGGUCCCACUAUGUACACGCACUGCUUAUGGUCCCACUAUGUACAUGCACUGCCUAUGGUCCCACUAUGUACAUGCACUGCUUAUGGUCCCACUAUGUACAUGCACUGCCUAUGGUCCCACUAUGUACAUGCACUGCCUAUGGUCCCACUAUGUACAUGCAGCACUGCCUAUGGUCCCACUAUGUACAUGCACUGCUUAUGGUCCCACUAUGUACAUGCACUGCCUAUGGUCCCACUAUGUACAUGCACUGCUUAUGGUCCCACUAUGUACAUGCACUGCUUAUGGUCCCACUAUGUACAUGCACUGCCUAUGGUCCCACUAUGUACACGCACUGCCUAUGGUCCCACUAUGUACAUGCGCUGCCUAUGGUCCCCACUAUGUACAUGCACUGCGUAUGGCCCCACUAUGUACAUGCACUGCCUAUGGUCCCACUAUGUACAUGCACUGCCUAUGGUCCCACUAUGUACACGCACUCCCUAUGGUCCCACUAUGUACAUGCACUGCCUAUGGUCCCACUAUGUACAUGCACUGCUUAUGGUCCCACUAUGUACAUGCACUGCCUAUGGCCCCACUAUUUACAUGCACUGCCUAUGGUCCCACUAUGUACAUGCGCUGCCUAUGGUCCCCACUAUGUACAUGCACUGCCUAUGGUCCCCACUAUGUACAUGCACUGCGUAUGGCCCCACUAUGUACAUGCACUGCCUAUGGUCCCACUAUGUACAUGCACUGCCUAUGGUCCCACUAUGUACAUGCACUGCCUAUGGUCCCACUAUGUACAUGCACUGCCUAUAAUUAUGGUCCCACUAUGUACAUGCACUGUUUGAUGUCCUUUGCAGUACUUCGUCCUAACAGUUUGUUCAGCCUUCACACUGCUUUCCAUACAUUCAGUGGACGGUUAGUAGCUACAUGUAUAUCAUAUCUGCUGGUAUAUGCAAGCUAGUUCCCGCCCAUUCUCCAUUUCUGAUCCUCACCAUAAUUUGUAUGUGAGUUUCCAUAUAUACCACCAAGAGUAGAUCAUGAGAGCAUUUACUAUAAUAUUGAUGCCACCUUAUAGUGGGUAAUUUUUGAGGGUCUCGCAGAUUAGCCAUUUUUGUAACCGUUAAAAAGUACCCAUUUAACAUACAAGUGCUA